AACACAGUAAGGUUAAUCCUUACCUGUUUGCCUUAGAAAUAAGGCGGCAGAUCAUGAUGAUUGGAUUCAAUGAGUGCGUGAUUAUCUUCCGUGUUCAUCAGGGAUAUUGCAACCCCUGUUUGAAUCCUGUCUGAU